rnacentral:rRNA from 1 species
AUACGAAGGGGGCUAGCGUUGUUCGGAAUUACUGGGCGUAAAGCGCGCGUAGGCGGAUUGGUCAGUUAGGGGUGAAAUCCCAGGGCUUAACCCUGGAACUGCCUCUAAUACUGCCAGUCUUGAGUUCGGGAGAGGUGAGUGGAAUUCCUAGUGUAGAGGUGAAAUUCGUAGAUAUUAGGAAGAACACCAGUGGCGAAGGCGGCUCACUGGCCCGAUACUGACGCUGAGGCGCGAAAGCGUGGGGAGCAAACAGAAUUAGAAACCCUAGUAGUCC